rnacentral:rRNA from 1 species
UACGUAGGGUCCGAGCGUUGUCCGGAUUUAUUGGGCGUAAAGAGCGUGUAGGCGGCCAGGUAGGUCUGCUGUGAAAACUCGAGGCUCAACCUCGAGACGUCGGCGGAAACCAUCUGGCUAGAGUCCGGAAGAGGAGAGUGGAAUUCCUGGUGUAGCGGUGAAAUGCGCAGAUAUCAGGAAGAACACCCGUGGCGAACGCGGCUCUCUGGGACGGUACUGACGCUGAGACGCGAAAGCGUGGGGAGCAAACAGG